rnacentral:ribozyme from 1 species
GGUGCAGUAACUCCUAUCCCUACCUCCCCGUGGUGCCGCCUGGGGUACGAGUAACCGUAGGGUAACCAACCCUGGUGGGACCUUGGCCGUAUGCUGACAGGGAAGG